rnacentral:rRNA from 1 species
ACCGGCGCACGGGUGAGUAACACGUAUCCAACCUGCCGUCUACUCUUGGACAGCCUUCUGAAAGGAAGAUUAAUACAAGAUGGCAUCAUGAGUCCGCAUGUUCACAUGAUUAAAGGUAUUCCGGUAGACGAUGGGGAGUGCGUUCCAUUAGAUAGUAGGCGGGGUAACGGCCCACCUAGUCUUCGAUGGAUAGGGGUUCUGAGAGGAAGGUCCCCCCACAUUGGAACUGAGACACGGUCCAAACUCCUACGGGAGGCAGCAUG